UAAGUGUCUUCUAAUGACUGUGUCCUC
rnacentral:piRNA from 1 species